ACACUGUACAAUGGAUUUCUCGGCUCCC
rnacentral:rRNA from 1 species